rnacentral:lncRNA from 1 species
GUAAUCUAAGCCUUCUGAACUUAUUCUAAUUAGGUAUCUUCACCACAAAUGAUCUUUUCGUCAUACCUUAGGUGUCGAGCUUUCAGAAUGAGUCUUCGUUCUCCAAUUUGACUAACUUCUGCGAUCAACUCUUCAAGACUCCAAACAACUUUACGAAAUUCGCCAACCUAUAAAAUCCUUAACAUUAUUAAAAGUAUGUAUUCAGUAUGCAAUCACGAGAUGCACGAAUAUUCAUGUUAAAGUAGUUCUGACUACCUGAUUCGAUUUAAGCAAGAAAAAAAUGCAAGAUAAUUAGGACCGUACAUCUCAAAGCGGGUGAAAAUUAGGAGGAAUUCUAUACUAUCACACUUGCACCGCGUCAUCAAUAACAUGUCAAUCACCUUUCUUCUUUUCAAACAAAAGUACAAUAAAAAUACUUUUUUAUAAUCAUGAUGGGACAUGUAUCUUUAAAAGGAGAUUUUUGAUUGGCAUUUUACACUGCGUCACCAAUAUACCUGUUGUAUUCUGGAAUUUUUCGAAAAUUAGACACCCGGGAGGGAUAUAUUGUGUAUAUCAUACAAAGUAAUUACUCUGAGCCAAUGAUUACACUCUUCGUGUUCGACAUCCGACGGUCAUGAUUGACUCCGUACGGUACGUACACCUAACAUCCAGUCAACGACAGGCCAGCUUAGUCUUCGCCUUGACCGAGUCUCGGGCCAAAGAUACAGCCACGACCCACAACGCACUAACACGUUGGCCUAAAAUUACGGCCCAAAUAUACGGCCCACGAAUCACGGUCGCUUUACGCUCCGUCCCCUCCGCUCCUACUUGGUACGCCUCCUUCUGCAGCCCCCUAUUCGCCUCUCGAUUUCGAUCCCUGCGAUCGAACUCGAAGGCGAAGCGAAAGCGGAGAAUCGAAGGAUCACCACCAAUGGCGAUGGCGCGUCUUCUUCUUCGUAAAACCCUCUUCGCCUCCUCCUCCUCCUCCUCCUCCUCUUCCGCCGUAGCUCCUCGUCUUCAUGGUGCGAGUCGUGCUCCCUCUACUUCUCGCUAGCAUUUAGCUGGAUUUUUGUUAACUUUUGUUAAAGAUUACUUUUUGCUGUAUCAAACGGAGUCGUUAAGCAGAUUUUUCUUUUCUUUUUUUUUUUCUGGUAGAUUUAUUUGCACUUAAUUGUUCUCUGAUCGUAUGGAUAAAUGAGCUACUUUGUUUCGCAAGGCUCAAUCGUCAUGCGAUCUUAUUUUGAUGACCUGCCCCUUUUUUUCUUUAAUAACCAUGAGUAUGGAUUGCAGCUAUGAUGUUGUAUAUUUCUACUCGUUGCAAUUCAAUGAUGAAAUUGUUCGGUAAACUUGUGGCUCUUUAAUUUUAUAUCUGCUUGGUAGAUUUUGGAUUGCUGAAUUUGCUAUCAGCUACUUUACAAGCGCUAAGAACGGUUUCUUCAGUCACCCUAGUUCAUUCUUCUAGGUCAUUUCCUUGUUUCGUGUUGACGUGAUUUUCGUGCAAUGUUCGUUCCAAAUUUUCGGCACAACUAGCAUUACCAGUGCACGUUCCCACAGGGCGCAUGAGGAGAUACGCAAAGAUGAUUUUAGAUAUCAGGUGUUUUGAUUGAAGCUUUCCUUCUAGUAUGAUAUAUUUAUUCUAUGCAGAUAUCAUGAGUUGCUCGGUGGCGAUAAAUACGGAUCUCAACUGUUUGUUGCAUGCUUGGUGCAACUUAAGAUUUUUGUGUAGCUACCACAGCUCAGCAAAGUUUGAUUUGACUGAUUUGACGUAAGAACACACCUAAUUAUUGAUCAACGUUUUAAGGCUCAAUUGAUAACGAUUGAAGCUUAUGAUACUAUUUGUUGCCCUGCUUUCAUAACAGUCGUCCUCACACUUGGUAUCCAAAUGCUCGAAGAAAGAAGCGCAAUGUAUUUUUACAUGUGGGUCCAACUAACAGUGGGAAAACUUAUAAUGCUCUAAAGAGACUAGAGUCAAGCUCCUCAGGUACUGUAAUGUUAAUCUACUAGUACACAUCACUCUCUUUCUAUGAUACAAUAAAUAUGUUAACUAUUAUCACUCAUUGAAGGAUUAUAUUGUGGACCUCUAAGAUUGCUUGCAUGGGAGGUGGCACAAAGAUUUAACAAAGCAAAGGUGCCCUGUAACUUGAUCACUGGACAAGAGCGAGAGGAGAUUGAUGGUGCGAAGCACAGUUCCAUAACAGUUGAAAUGGCUGAUGUGACGAGUGUACCAGUGUGCAAUUAUUGAUGAAAUCCAGGUAUGUUGCAGUAAAUCCUUUAAGAUCUGUACAUCUUUUGCGGAUAUAGAAGCUAGGCUGGUAAAAAAAAAAACUAUUAAGCAGUGCUCAGACUAGUUUAUGUUAGCUAUAUAUUUGUCUUGUCAGACAAUUUUCUUUCUUUUCUUUUGUAUUCUCUUAUCUUUCAAUUUUAUUUUGUUUUAUUAGAUGGUUGGUUGUAGAACGAGGGGUUUUUCAUUCACACGCGCAUUGCUAGGGAUUUGUUCUGAUGAACUUCAUGUGUGUGGCGAUCCAGCUGCCGUUCCUCUUAUCCAGAGAAUACUUGAAGUAACUGGUGACGUGGUUAAGGUUGUUUAAGAGUCAAAAGUCAAAUUUUUAACAUCAGUGGAUAAUCAUCUCUUUAUGAUUUUUUUCUGCAUAUGAGAGAGCAUAUGCUUCAGGUUAAUUGCCAAUUCUUUUUUCUUUUACGUUCAUAAGGUCAGAGUGUUUUAUCUAUGCAUUUGGACUUCAAGAAUCUUCACCUUUACUUUUUGUAAUAAAAUAUGGCAUACAUUUUGCUCUAGUUCCCCUAAAAGUUAUCCCUUAACAAUUCCACCUCUUCUUGAAAUAGAUUUUAAAAAUUUUCAUCCUUUUUUCAAGGUUCUUAGCUUACACAAACAUUUUCUCUAGCUGUCUCUUAUGCUUAGGGAUUUUAUAUUCCAGCUCUUAAAAUCACUUUUUUUUUCUUCUUUUUUUUGUGUGUUUUCUUGGUUGAAACGAGCUAAAUCUAACUCAACCACUUCUAGGAGUUGCUACCUGUUCAUAUUUUUUCGGGAAAACUUCAAAAAACCCCCCUGUGGUUUCGCACUUUCUCACUUUAAUACCCUGUGGUUUAAAACGUAUCAAUUUGCCCCCCCCUGUGGUUUCGUUUUUCUCUUUUUGUUAUCAAUUUUAUUAUUAUUUUUUUCUUAAAUCAAUGACAAAGUUAAAAUUAAAGGAUACUAAAGUGAAUAGUCGAUAAACAUAGAUGGUUAUCUGAAGUUUUUUGUAUAUAAUUUAACGAAAUAUUAACGAAAAAGAAAGCUUCCGAAAAGAUAAAAACGAAACCACAAGGGGGCAAAUUGAUACGUUUUAAACCACAGGGUACUAAAGUGAGAAUGCACGAAACCACAGGGGGGGGGGGUUUGAAGUUUUCCCUUUUUUUUUUUUGAAAGUGUGGAGUCGCUUGUCAUAUAAUGAUACAAAAAUGCCAAAUUUUCUUUUAUUUCUGUUUCAAAUUGUAAUUAACAUGCCCAUUGCAUGCUAUUACUCAGGUUCAAUAUUAUGAAAGACUCUCCCCUCUGGUUCCUUUAAAGUUUCCACUUGGAUCGUUCUCCAACAUCAAGACUAGAGAUUGUAUCGUAACAUUCUCUCGACUUGAGAUAUAUAAGUUAAAGGUCAGUACUGGGUGUUUAGAUAUUUCUGCUAUUUAUGCUAUUAUUGUUGUUUUGUUACAUUCAACACACCCGUUUCACUAUUACCUUUUAUUUAAGUUGUUAGGGUAACACGGCUAGAUGGUUGAAGUAACAAUAUUAGUUGAUGCCUAGAUAUUCAAUUGGGAUCCCGGAUAUAACAAUUUAUGACAUAUCCAGUUUUGCAAAGUGAAAAAUGUAAAGAUACUUAGUUGUAAUAUUUCUUGGAAGUCUUCAAAAGACGCAGCUAAGGGAUAGAAAAGGAGUUUAUAGAGGCUUGAGAACUAACCGGGACUCUAACGUUUGAAUAAAAGAGGCACCAUUGCUCGUGCCUGAUUGGCAUAUGAUGCUCGGGAUACUUUUUGGGCCUCUUGUUUUUGGGUGAGGGGUUGUGAUUACAUAAAGAAAUGAUGGACCUAUCAGGAAAAGCUGAACAUAGUCGGCUUGUUUAGUAUGACAAAUAUUUAUCACAUGUUGAAGAUUGUGAAGAAAAGUUGUUAUCCAUCAGUCCAAGUGCUUUACUCCUUUGUCUUCACAUGAGGCAUGUAUAAUUGUAUAUCAAAACUUUGAACAUGGAAACUUACCUUUUUCAAUUUUAAAUUAGCUAUGACGUAAUUAUUUUCCACCUUGUGCUGUACAGAAAAAAAUUGAAAAUGACCGAAAACAUCUUUGUGCUGUAGUCUAUGGCUCACUGCCCCAGAGACUCGAACAAAGCAGGUACUUCCUUAUUAGAAAGAAUUUCCCUAUUGUUACCUAUCUUUCAGACCUCUUAAAUUAUUCACAAUUGUUGUUCUAUUACAUGUGCUCAAAAUAUUUUUAUUUAGUCAUUACGAUUUACAUGAUUAGCAAUGGGAUAGCUGAGUGAAUUUGAUCUUUAAGCUUGCAGGCAACAAUGUUCAAUGAUGAAAGCAGUGAAUUUGAUGUUCUAGUAGCCAGCGAUGCCAUCGGAAUGGGUCUUAAUCUGAACAUCUCUGGAAUCAUUUUUUCAACUCUGAAAAAGUUUGAUGGUGUGUAUACUCGGGAACUCAGUGUCCCUGAAAUCAAACAAAUUGCAGGUACUAUUUUCUCCAAAAUGUUGAAGUUUUUUAGUUUUUGAUUGACACAACCUCAACUUCCAUUUGUUUUCUAUUUGAGUUAUUUCUGCCUAUUAAAUUAGUAAUUUGUUAUCAUUAAUGGCUCCAGUGAGUCUCUAUACUUUUUUUAUGGCUUAGUUUACUUUAGCUUAUAGUAUUUUUCAUGAAUUAACUUCAUGGCUACAUCAUCAAUUACUUAGCAUCCUAUUGCUACAGGAAGAGCUGGAAGAUAUGGAUCAAAAUAUCCUGUUGGGGAGGUGACCCGCGUAGAUGCUGAUGACCUGCCUUUGCUACAUUCCUCUCUUGCAUCUCCUUCCCCUGUUUUGGAGGUAAAUGCUUUUUCCUUGCUCAUAAUUAAUUGCAAAUAAAAGAACAUAGCAUCUAAGGCGUAAGUUUAUAGGUCUAUAUUUUCUUUUUACCAUUCGUAAUUCAUAAACAUGUGCAGGUGCAGUACUAUGCAUGCCAUCUUUUUUUUCUUUUUAACAAUUUACAUCAGCAAAAUUAGAAUUCUUACUAAUACAAAGACAGUGACUAUUAAUAACAAUUAACCAAAUACUGCCAAAUUAAUGGAACAAGGGUGGAAUUUCAUCUGCUUUAUUUGAUUAUGUUAGAAACGUAACGUUGCAUCCCUGACGUUUGAAAUUGCUAACUAAUCCUGAUAUCUCUUUCUAUUCAUUCUGCAGCGAGCUGGACUUUUCCCCACCUUAGAUCUUUUGUCCAUGUAUUCACGAAUGCAUGCGACAAAUAAUUUUCAUCCUAUAUUGGUAUGUGGAAAGCUAUAUUAUCAUGUUUUGUUUUUACUCUUUUUCACCUUGCAUAUACUAAGGUUUACAGUGAUGAAUGGACUUUUUUAUAAAAUAACUCUCUAAAAUUUUAUAAUUUGCGAAAUAACACUAUCAAAUUUAUAUUUGGCAAAUUAACCCUCGAAAUGCGAUAAAUCGUUCACCGCAUUCUGAAAGACUCCAAGAUCUUUUAAAGGCGGUGAAUCGUUCACCGCAUUCAUUAAGACGGUUAAUGAUUCACCGCUUUUGUAAGAAAUUAGGAAGGCGGCGAAUCAUUCACUUUCUUUAUGAAGGCGGUGAAUCAUUCACCGUCUUUAAGAGAAAAUCUACUUGCUUCCUACAUAGUAAAAAGAGGGUUAGUUUUUCAAAUAUAAUUUUGGUAGGGUUAUUUUGCAAAUACCAAAAUUUUAGAGGGUUAUUUUGUAAAAAAAUCCGUGAUGAAUUGUCCAGAAGCUGUUGCAGAGCAACAUAUAUUUCAAAUUCGCAGCAAAUUUGGUACCCUUUUUUUUUUUGGGAGAACAGCAAAUUUGCUACUUACUAAAACCUCCGAGGGUUUUCUUUUUAAAUUAUACUGAUCAAGUGACCAUGUUUUCUGGAUGCUGUUACUAAAGGAAUCUAUUAUUUUUCUUCCACAUUUCUGGUUAAUAAAAACUUUCUGAACUUGUUGACUGAAUUUUGGUGUACGUUUCAGAGAAUUUUUAUUACUCAGACCCUAAUGUUUAUAAAGCUAUCCUGAAUUCAUAAGCUGUUAUCAAACUAUGUACACUUCUUUGGCUGGUAUGUUGCAUGAAUUCCCAUCUCCCAGCAUUUAUGGUGUCCGGAUUCAUUCCAAUAAGCAAAUAAAUAAUAUUUAUCAAGUCUCAUAUAUAUCUCAUGCUGAAAAUAUUGCUUUGUGCUGCGGGAAAGGUUCUUGGAGAAGGCAAAGUUGUCUCCAGAUUAUUUUAUUUCUGACUCUGAAGAAAUGCUGGUAGAAGUCCUUCGUAUGCACUCCUUUUUGCUUAUGUGCAAGUUUAGUUUACAACUAUACAUAUCCGAUAUUAGCAGCCAAAUUGACUUUGAAUUCCUCUUUAAUAUUUCGACUUAUUGUAUAUCAGUUAGAUUGGUUUGCACUUCUUGUAAUUGACUUCUUUUGUGGAGUUUUUGUGUAAUUAUUAAUAUUCAAUAAACUGUUGUUUGAUAACAGAAGGUUGCUGCAGUUCUGGAUGACUUGCCUCUUGGAUUAUAUGAUAAAUACCUUUUCUGCCUAAGGUAAGAAUGUACAUUGUGAUACUAGCAAUGACUUACAAUACCCAAUCUAAACACCCCAAUUCUCCAUUUUGUAGUCCAGUGGACAUGAAUGACGAUAUUGCAGCUCAAGGUCUAAUUCAGGUUUAUUUUUUUAUUUUACAAUACCUCUUUAUGGUUUGUUUUUUUGAGAUAAAUUGAAGAAUAGCUUUAUUUUUUUGAGAUAAAUUGAAGAUAAAUACCCAAUCUAAACACUCCAAUUUUUUUAUUUUACAAUAGCUCAAGGUCUAAUUCAGGUUCUCUUGUGAGCUCCUCAAUGAAGGUCUUGGAUCUCUAUGUCUGGUUAAGCUUCCGGAUGGAUGAUUCUUUUCCAGAUCGUGAGUUGGCUGCUUCUCAAAAGUUGAUCUGUAGCUUGUGAGUGUUAAACUAGCUUUCAAAAUAUUUAUUGUGAUGCUUUUUUAGCUCUUUGGAAAUCUAAUUUGUCCUAUUUGUUUGAUCACAGAUUGAUUGAAGAAUUUUUGGAGAGGUUAGGAUGGCAUAGCCAACGAAGACGAAACUAUGACCACAGUCCGCAGCACCUGCAACAGAAAUAUCAAACAACUGAACUGUAUGAUCUUUGCUAAGAAACUCCAUUUGAUUUUAUUUUCUUCUUGCAAGGAUUCUCCAUUUAUAUAUCUUGCUCCUUUAUUUUGUUCUUUUUUUUUUUCCCUUCAAUAAAUAUUACUUUGAAUGCCUUUUCCUUCAUUAUUUUUGCUAGUAAUGAAUUUCACUUUUUACCGUAUUUAUCAUCAUUUUAAUUUUAUGGUGGAAAGUUGAUUUCUCUUAAUUUUUAUUGUUCUGUGGUGAUUACCAGACGCAGAUUCUUUCCAGAUUUAUGAGUGGACUCUCACAAAUACCAACUUUUAAGGUUUUAACUGAAAAAGGAGAGCAUAUCCACCCACCUCUUCUGAUUGUUUAAUAGUUGGCGAGCAAUCCAAACUUCUUCCCCAGUGCUGGAUGUCACUAGGUUGUCUUCUUUGGAGAGAAAAUCAGGAUUUGGGAUAUAUUUGUAACUUUUCUGCAGUGGCUUUUCUUGUUUCUGUUUUUGUUUUUGUUUUUUCUGCGGAAUCAGAGUUAAGUGUAGUUAGUCAUUAAUUGUGCAGUUAAUAGCUGAUAACUUGGCUAGUUGCUAAGUUUCUCUUGAUAAGAUUGAUAUAUUCUCUCUGUUUUCCCUUUCUUCUUCCAGUUGAAGCUUUCUUUGUAAACUAGACAAAUGAACUCAUAGUUUCAACGUUUUGACUCGUAGUGCAUCCUGCCAAAUCUUAUAAAAGUAGUCAGCUAGAUCUGCAUAGAAAUUUUAUGCACAAAAGUUACCUCGUUGAAGUCGGUUCACCCCGCUCAACAUCGAAGCAACACUACAGCACAGGAGGCGACCCAAUUCCAUCUCAGCAACAACACCACACCCAAAUUAGCAAUCGAAAUACUUUUUUUGCAUUUAGACUCCAGGCAAAUUUUUAUUUUAAAAAUAGUCCCGUCAAAAUUUAAUUUACAAAAAUAGUCCUGGGCCUGUAAGUUGAACACGGUGAACCAUUCACCGUGUUCAAACACGGUAAAUGGUUCACCGUGUUUAGUACGUAUUUUUUAUAUAUUGAAAAGAGGAAUAAGGAAUAGGGAUGUCAAUAGGUAUGGAUAUCCGAAAUAUUAUCCGAAUUCAAACCCGAAUGAAUUAUAUAUAUAUAUAUAAUUUAUUUUUAUUUAUUUAUAUAAUAUAUAAAAUAUUUAAUAAUUUUUAUUCCUUAGAUCUUCAUCCAACCCAGUGGGUUUAAAAAUCUAUACCGUUGGAUGAAUAUCUAAGGAAUAAAAAUUAUUAAAUAUUUUAUAUAUUAUAUAAAUAAACAAAAAUAAAUUACGUAUAUAUAUAUAUAAUUUAUUCGGGUUUGGAUUUGGAUAAUAUUUCGGAUAUCCAUACCUAUUGACAUCCCUACUACUUAUUCCACUUUUCAAUAUACAAAAAAUACGUACUAAACACGGUGAACCAUUCACCGUGUUUAGACAUGGUGAACCAUUUACCGUGUUCAACUUAAUACCCUAGCCCCAGCCCUGCCCGCGUGGCACUGACGUGGCGCCUGCAUGGCAGGGACGGCCAUUUUUGCAAUUUUAAUUUUGAUAGGGCUAUUUUUAAAAUAAAAAUUGCUCAGGAGGCUAUUUGCAAAAAAAGCCCUUAAAUGUAUUCACAGAUCAAGUCACAAGUUGCAUAUUGGCCUUGCUUCCCCACAGUGUCACGUCCUGGAUGACUCGUUUCCCCGGGCUCGCUAACAGACCUGCCAUACACAUAGGUAUUUCUCCUGUAUACGAAGCGAAAAGUAGUACCUGUAAUCAUACAAUACUACAAACAGUAGCAUAGAGCAGCUAAGAAAAUAAAUCAAAUAUAUAAACUGUGGUUCAAUACAUACAUGUCAUCCAAGGUAUACAAAUACUCGCACUGGCGAUAAACAACAACUAUAUGUAAAGGCCUAAAAACUACAAUUACCUAUAGCUGGUGCUCCUCCAGCUCUGCGACUCGACUGGAAGGGCUCUAACUCGCGACGCCCUUACCACGAUCAAGAUCAGCAACAGCAGCAGCCGAAGGCAACGGCUCUGCAAAACAGUGGCAAUAACUGGGCGUGAGAACUACUGUAAAAAUAAGUAUUCCUCAGUGGGUACCGCCCUCAAACUCAUCGGUCCACACACUAAGUCUACAGGGGUAAGCAGGAAUAGUAAAGAAAGCUGGAACAAAUCUACAGCUAUAUGCCACUAUACUAUCAUGCUUUAAAUCUAACAAUCUGUAGAACAGUGUCAACUCAGACCCAAUCUCAAAUAAGGACUGUAAUCAUACCCGUCCAACCUGUACGAACGACACCAACGCAAAAGCAUAGCGCCCGUCUCCGGAGUGGCACUCGUGGAAGCUACCCAACCGAGUAUGCAGUGUAUCUCUGUCGAGCUCAAUCAGGCUCUAACAAGCCAAAGUCAAAUAGCUAGGGUCAAAACAGGUCUAGAAGCCAAACCCACGUGCCCUCGGCACAAUCUGAGACCAAAAACAGAAAUCUGGGUCCAUCUCCACCCCGACGGCACCCGACAACCUGAAACAGCCUAGACUCUGCUGUAAAAAUAAGCUCGACAUCUCUGCACGAGCGUAAAUGCAUUCUAAUCUACCCCGGAUAUCCACCGUGCUGAAACAGCGGCGAUACAAACAAAACACGGCUCCUAGAGCUAAAUCAGGUAGUAGAAUCAUAUGACAGGUCGAAUCGCUAGUUUUCUCCUAAGUCAAGUUCCAAGUCCAACAUGUAUAUUCAUCUAAUUAAUAAUCAUACUCCCAAUUCAGAUUUCAUACAUGCUACAAUCAAUGAAUUUGAACUACCACAUGAAAUACAACAACCGAAAUCAUAUAUGUCGACUACACAAGCACUUAGGAGCGAAACCGAUGAAACACCCACCUCAAAAGCUCUUUCCUGGCAGUAAGGAGAUCUCGGAACUGUUGCGAGACUCAGCCGAAAUCACACCAAAACAGCAACUGGAAUACUUGAAGGAUCUAGCGUCGAAAACCACAAAAAUCCAAUAAUUCAGCACUUAAGCUUAAAUUAGCUCAAAUACAAUGCUAAUUUCACUAGAUUAUCUUCAAAUCAGCAGUAGCAAGGUUCCCUCAACAGUGAAUUAGAUGUAGAAAGUUUCUCAGGUUCAAGACUAUCCUUCUCCUAAGAUCUGAACCCAAGAUAAUCAAGUUGCAUCAAUGACAAUGCUAAUUUCAGCACUUAAGCUUAAUUAACCCAACUCCAAUGUCAAAACUCACCUAAUCACAUCCAAAUCUGGUGAGGAAGAUUUCAAAUCCAGUGGAGUAAACUAAGAUAUCUAACUCAGGUCCAAACUUUCCCUACUUCCCAAGAUAGCAUCAAGAAAACCCAAAAAAAAAGAUUUUCAGCUCAAAGUCACCAGCAGUCCAGAAAAAUAUGGAAUCGACCAAGCUAACCUCAAUCAAAAUCUGCAAUUCUGGGCUUCGUGGAUUCCUCCGGAAGUCUAGAAUCCAGCAAACCAAGUUUCACCGCCAUCCGACCUUCCUACGUCGCACACGAACCAAAACACCGAAAGUCGUCGCUGGAAAACUGCAGAAUCAGCACUACAUCACCUUCCAAUUGAAAGAUUGGAUGAAAUCCGAGAAAAAUCGACUGGAGGAGAAAUCAGAGGUGCUACUGUGAAGAGAGAGUGAAAAGAGCUCACCAGGAUCACUCUCCACCUAUUUAUAGAGUGCUGGAAUGGUAGAAUAAGCCCCAAGAACAGCUGCUGCAAUCUGGUGUCCCUACAGACUCGGGCACUUCCGGGCGCCCGGACCCACAUUAUGGGCUCCCAGACCCAUAUUAUGGGCGCCCGAAUCCUCCAGGCUACACAAAGCUUCCUCCUCAGACUCUCUGCCCGCGGUGUGCUGCGCCCGCAUUCGGCUCCGGCAGACCUCACCAACCACCAGCCACGUGUCAGCGCAACGAUACUCACGAGGUAAACUUUCGGACCCUCAUCCGGACGCCCGAAAUAUGGACCCGAAUUGGCUUCCAGUUCUGCUCAGUUCUGCACUCAACUUCUGGGCGACCCAAGGUCAGUCUUGGGCGCCCGAAUCUGGCAAAACUAUAGUUUUGCUUAUUUGAUUGCGCCGAGUCCAUUUCUGCAUCCAUUUCGCGCAGAAUCUAUUUUGACUCAGUCCGACACUCUCUAGAUGUGUCGACCGGUCACUAACACUGAAGCCAAUCCUAUCCAAAGCUCAGAAACACUACACACAGUGCCUCCAUAACAUUUAGUAACUAUCGUAUAAGUAAAUCAUACAAUUUUAGUGUGAUCAAUUGUAUGUCCAGAGAAAAAUAUGUUUAGGAUUUUGUAGUCUUCCUUGAUCUCUCCUGGAUCUUACAAUGUAGGCAUCUAAAUAUGCAUAGAAAAAACAUUUCUAAUCAUUUCUUGAUGCAAAUCAUAAAGAAAUAGUGAUUCUUCCAAAACUCGAUGAACUAAUUGAAAUAUUUCUUUAUGUUACGACAAACUCACAAACGGAAACGAAAUGGAGAACACAAAAUAAAUAAACCACAAGCAGAAAGAAAAACACACAUAUUUACGUGAAAAACCCUUUGCAAGAAAAAACCACGGGCGAGGGAGGAGAGAACUUCACUAUCAAACGAAAAAGGGAAUACAAUGUUUUUAGAUAGUACAACCAACCACGAUCUCACGCCUUUAGGGCAAAAACGAAAAGGAAAACUCAUUAACGGGUUUCGGAUCCGAUCCGUACCGUUCCUUCACAGUUUUAAUUUUUCAAUUUGGUCGGACCGCAAAACUAUCGGCGUGUCGAAAACCCGAACUUAAGUUGAUUAUCAAUUUCGAGUCAUAUCUAACACUUUAAAUAUCACACGAUCUCUACAAAGGACUACAAGGCAAACAACAGACGGUCUCAGUUGCAUAUGCCUAAAAUAAGAUCCGUCAAAUGUUAUAAUUUACAUGCAUGGCAUCUCCAUUUUACUACAGGAAACUGAUAAACCUCCAAUCUGAAUUGUGCACACUUGAAUAUGAUAGCACCUGAACCAGCCAGUAUAAUCCUCGUCAUCUCACUGUGAAAGAGAAAUAUGGAGAAGCACUUUCUUACGUGCAAAAGAAAAAAAAGAUUUAAGAGAAAGAUUAAGUGAUAAUUAGCAUACCUAGAUAUAGCUCGUUUGAUGUGGAUUAUCAAUUAUUCAAGGGUUUCUUCAUAAAUAGACAGUUCUAUCCAUCUGCUUUCUAAAACAGAAAGAAUCCAUAAUUAGCCACUCGAUCAAAAGUUCAUAACAGAGGAAUUAUAUAAUUCGGAAUCCAUCAAAUGCUAGGAAACCAUAAAUGCAACGGCCACCUUUAAUCUUAGAGACAACAAGUGUGAAGCAACCUUGGUGGAAGCAUGAGAAAAGAUGGGACGAGGUAAUUCCCAAAACAAAUAAAUGUAUGUUAAAGUAUAUACCAACCACCAGUCCACCGCUAGCUGGGUGGUACCCAGCUGGGACCACGAGGCCCUAUGUUAACAUGGGAUUAUGGAGUGGGUUAUCUACAUGCUGUUUCAUAAAUAUAAUUGUAUGUAUAAAAUAAAAUAUUAUACACCGUUCCUGAAAAUUAUGGUUCAACUAAGUUAUCUAUACGGGUAUGGUUAGCACUACACGGUCAGCUAAGUUUGAAAAGCAGAAGAGAAACCAUAAUAAGAUAUAGCCUGAGCUGGAAAGCAGAAGAGGAACCGUGUUAAGAUACAGAGCAGUAUAGAGAAGUAAAUGUACACACGCUGAACUCCUUCAAUUCGGUAUCAACGGUGACACCAAAAAGAAGAAACAAGAUAAACAGAUACUGGAGAAACAAUCAAAAAUAGGAAAAAAUAUAUAUAUAUUAAAGGAAUACCUUGAUCCUCUCAGCCAUAAUUUUAGCAAAUGAUAGCAGCUCGCUUUUAAGCACCUUACAAUUUUCGUCACAUAGAUUUUUGUACCUAGUUCUCAAAUCUGGAAAUAAACAAUGUCAUAUAUGUGAGAGUUGCCAAAACAAUAUGUUGCAGAUAAUCAAGCAACCCAACAGGAAAAAUCGGCCAAAAGCAAAACGAAAAUUCCUAAAGAAGUUCGACGAACAGGUAGGGUUCAAGCCAAAUCCCCUAUCCAGUUGGAUGGUUGUUUUCAAAAAAAGAGGGGAAAAAUUUUAAUUUAGUUGCAAAAGGAAAUUUCUUAGACAUCAGAGCUACAAAAAUAGUAAUCUGAAUAUGAUGAUUCCUUUCUCCACCCUAUCAAAACUUAGUACUUUCAAUUGAUGACAUUACACAACAACUAUAUCCUAAGGAUACAUAGAGGAUUAAAACUUGCCAAUAGUAGAUCUGAAUUCAAACUUAGCAUUUUGGAACAUUGUAAGAGGCAUAAAUUACCUUCACAUGAUUCAAUAUACGUUUUCAAGCAAUCCUCAACCGACUGAUCAACUAUAGAGGGAUCAUCUGCAUUGCCGAAUAGAUUAGUAAUUUUGUCCUUACUUUCAGAAGAUGUCCUCAAGUGCAGUUCAUACAAUAAAUCCCGGCAAAUAGGCUCCACGUGCUACAAAAACAGAAUUGAUAAACCAGAAGUUUUUCUCUUUAUAUAUUGACCAUCGACAUUUAUCUCACUUGGAUACAGCACGGAGGAAAAAAAGAAAAGACUAAUCACAAAUUUAUAAAUAAACAAAAUUAGGGCAUAUAUGUGAAAGAAUGAGAGUGUAACUAAUUAAAAGAAUGAAAAACAUCAGAAAACUUGGGUGGGGGGGCAGAAAUGUGACGCUUUUCCCACCAUGUCUUCCUUUUAGAAAUUAAUUAUAGAUUAGAGAUAGUGAGUUACAAAUUGUAAAAAAUGGUAUAUAAGUAAUUAAAUAAUUUUAAAGGGUAUGCAUGUAAAAGGAUGAGAAUAAAGUGAUUAAAAAAGGAGCAAACAAACUUGGGGAAAGCAAAAAGAAGAUGGUGGCGAAAUUGCGGCAAUGCAACAAGCAUGUCACUAAGUCUUCUUCUUUAUAAUAAUUGUUAAAAAUAUGUAGGUUAUAAAAUUAGAGAUUACGAAGAAUAUAGAUCAUGAUUGUAUUUUCCACUAAUCUUUUUAAGUGUUUAGCCAGCAGUAGAACUAAGAGAAACCUUCUCAUGAAUGUAUGGAAACAAAAGAUACUUAAUAUGUAAGAGUAAAGAAAGAAGGUCCCGUACAUGCAAUACUUCAUUCUCUAGUUCUUGGCGUUUUGCAGCCCUUUCUUUUGCUUCAUACAAUUCCGUUUCUGUGUCAAAGCUGCAGAAAAUGAAAAGCAAAAAUGUAAAGAAGUGUAGAGAAAGUUGACAUAUAUCACAUUUGGAGCACAUUUGGGGAACAAUGAAAAGCUGUGAUCUCAAAUUUUGUCUUUUACCUACUUUGCACCGAGUACAUACUGUUACAGAAAUCUCAAAAUCCAAAUGUAGCUACUCAAAUGCGUGCAUGGAAUGCUCUUUGGAAACUUCCUCUGUAUUGUUUAUGUGUUUGAACAUAUCCAUUAAACUCCGAUAGCAACAAAAUCGUGGUAAGGAACUUAAUGCCCGGACUAUUAGUGCAUAUGCAAUAUUACCAUGCUUUCUUAGGCAAGCUACUGCUAUGGUUUACAGAAAACUGAAGCAAUGGAAUGGCCAAAUAAAGAAAUAAAGAAAUCUCCAUAUUUAUUAUUCAAGAUGGAGAUAUGCAGCCAUCCAUAGGCUAGUAGUCCAGGAAAAUUUUAGUGAUCUUCCAUCCUAACAUAAGUUAAAAUGAAUGAGAAGAAAGACCACUGAAAUAUACUAAAAAAGUACUAAAGGAACACAAGCUAAAGAUGACAAACUAAGAUACUAGAAGAAUUAUUUGAACCUCUGCAGGAUAGCUAGGAAUUAAAUACAGCAUCGCAGACAUGAACCAUGCAAGAUACCAAUUUUCUUCAGCAUAACAGGCAUAUAUUAGGAAAACAGUAAAAUUGGGAAGAUGCAAAAGAAUAAUGCAAAUAUUAACAAGACUCCCUAAGUCCUAACAGUUAAGUGAACUUUUAAAGGACUGUAGCAUUGUUUCUUACUAUUCCUGCUAAGCAGCUAUGCACUAUAAAGUAUCAUUUUAUUUGCAGGGGACUAUCAGUAGUUAAAUCGUAUAUUAGAAUUAAAGUGGUCUUUGAAAAGCUAGGCACAUUUUGCAUGUGUUUAAGGAAUCUCGAAGAGUUCUAUAAAAGAAUACAAUUCGAUACAAGUUUUAAUACAAGAAAAGAGUGCAAAUGCAAAUUGUAAAUAAGGCCACACAGCCCCAUCAUGAUUCCAACACAGAUAAAUUCUAUUGGAGAGAAGAUAGGCAGACUGUUUUUACUGAGUCAAGAGCGACUUUAGAAGGGCCCCCAAUUUCUCGCUGAAUUCUUUUGGAGAACUUCGCGCACCUUUCUUUAAUGACAAAUAAUCCUAAGAAAAUCAUAGAAAAACAAAAGUGGUAAAUGAGCUUGAAAGGCGGGACUUAAAAUGGGAAGCACAUUUGAGAAAUACAAUACCUCAUUAGACUCUAAAGAAUUGAUACUCUCCUUGACAACCUUUUCACAGAAAAAGCUCGAUACCAUCACCUACAUGUGUAUUAGAUGAAUGUAAAUCAUAAGAAAAACAAUUUUAUUGCGUGAGAAAACAUCCGAUAUGCAGUCGUUUGAAUUACCCUGUGAGCAGGAAGGUCAAGUCUCUUGUUUUGUCGGAUAGCUUCCCAUAUCCCUUUUGCACUAAAUGAAAAAUCAGAAGCUGAUACCUUAUCUUGCCGGAACCCCACAAGAGAAUUUGUAGCAAACCAUUCUCUCAACUUCGCGACCUGAAAAUAAAGAAUGUGAUGAUAGUUUUGAUAAACGCUUCUAGAGCUUGAUUAAAAAAUUAUCUAAAAGCCACUAUUUUAUGAUGCAGUUGUUUCUCAUAAAUCUUUGCCAAUCUUAACAUACACUCAAAAACUAAUUUAUAUGCAGAUAUAAUGCCCACAAUUCAGGGGGCAGAUAUGAAGCGUCAUGCAUGACAAAUACAACAAAUGGAGCCUUAGAGGAAAAGUCUUAAUAAACCAUCAUUUUCAUGUUAGGAUAUCCUGAGAAACUAAAACAGAGAAAACUUCAUGCAAAUUCGAGUAUAAGUAGAGUGAAAGCUUCAUUGGUACCAAAGUAGGUUCCUAAGGCCGCUAUCUAGCCUUCAAACAUGACUUUUGAAGCUUGCUUUGACAGGUCCGGACUCAGCUCCAUUUUACUUCCUUUCUUUCUAGUCAGAGUCAUGGCCUUUCCAUAAAAUGGGUCCGAGGGAAGGUAACAGGUCUGUCUGUUGGAGGUAGAGGUAUGGGUCAAUGAAGAGCUUUAGAACUUGUCUACUGAAGGUCAAAAGACCACUACUGAAGGUCAAAAGGCCACUACUGUUCAACCUACUCUCUACAAUACCAAUCGCCGAUGGAGAACAUCUAGGCUUCGCCGCUUGAGAACACCCGCGGAUAGCAACCGAGGGGAGAGACCGAAUGGUCCCCCCUCGUAUAGGCCUCGCCGAUUGAGAGGAAUCAGUCCCGUCAGGGUAUGGGAUUGCACGAGUUAUGGAUGUGUCGUACUUGAAUUCAUCUCUUGUGAAGUUGUCUCUGCUCUAGCCGCAAAGCCUCCCCUUAAGGCCUGCCUCGGCCUCAGCCUCACCUACUCCAGUAGAGUAAGAAGCGAAAGGGAAUCGAAGAGCCAGAGUCAUUCUGGAAGUCGAUGCUCCGAGUAGUGAAGGUAAAAUCACUGUUCCUUUCAUAAGUCAUUUCCAUCUCUAUCUCUUUUUCCGAGCUCUCUACUUCGUAGUACUAGGUGAAAAGUCAUAAAGUUUGAAAGAACCCAGCGUGACCGAUGCUUUAUUAGCUAUUAAGCUAUCCAUAAAUCGAAAACUAAUAUAAUUAGGAUUGGGAUCGGGUGAGCAGCCAAGAAAUUGGCAAGAGCCUGCCCUUUUACUUCUUUUUGUAGGACGUAAGUGAUUUAUUAAAGUAUGUCGUUCACGGUACAUAUCAUAUUCAGCCAGAGCCGCUCCCGUAUAAGGAGCGAGGUAUUGGUUUGUAGCAGGUGAAUCCGCCGUUUCAGCUACGACAAUAGUGUAUUCCAGGAGCCGGGUUCAACAUCAAGAGCAAAUGCAGAUCCAGUGACUCGCCGAUUGAGAGGAAUCAGUCCCAUCAAGGUAUGGGAUUGCACGAGUUAUGGAUGUGAGGACCAUUCUUAACAAGUGCGGGCCGUUCACAUGAAAGAAAAGAAGAAAUCCUUUCUUCACGGUCGGGCGCAUUUCUCAAAAUCCUCCAGGAUCACAAAUGGAACGCUAAGCAAGGGUGGGGAGGCUGCGAGCUCCGCGUUGAACAGAAAGAAGCAAGCAUGCAUGAAGCAACCUAUACUGUGGCUCCAUACCCAGAGGGAAUGGAGCAGGAAAGGUUGCUUCCCCAACGGCCAUGUAGGGGGAUACGUGGCCUAUUCCCAGAGGUAGGUUCAAGUUCAGUUUUGAACCUACCUAAGGCCCUAAGACCCUUUCUUUUAUUCUUCAUAGCAGUAAAAAGUAUAUAUCUAUUCUCCGUACCAGUCUAUCUAUGGACCUUAGCAGAAGCGAGAUAACUGCCAUUGGCGGGCCUGGUCAAUCAUUUUGUCUUAGCUCCAUACAAAUUUAUGCCGUAUGGAGCCAUCGUCGCUUUCGACCCUUCUCUUUUUCCAAAAAAGGAUUCUUUUCAUUUUGGGUAUGAUGGACAUGGACUCCGUAAUUACUGUGGCUCCAUACCCAGAGGGAAUGGAGCAGGAAAGGUUGCUUCCCCAACAGCCACGUAGGGGGAUACGUGGCCUAUUCCCAGAGGUAGGUUCAAGUUCAGUUUUGAACCUACCUAAGGAGCUUAUCGCGUGCAAGCACACACCCAUGCGCUUACACGCUUUAAGCUCACUGCAAGGAAGAUUGGGGGAGCAAUCUUCCCUGCCUAUUCUCCUUGGGGAGGAGAACAGGCAGGAAAGAUUGCCCCCCCUUUAUGCGCGCAUACGGGUAAUUCUCCCCAGAGAAUUACCUAUGCGCAUGUGUGUGAGUAGGUAAUUCUCCGUAAAAGAAUUGGUGUAUUCCUUUUUUAAAAAACUCCAAGUAGAUGGUGAAUAAGAUUUCCUCAUAAGAUCGAAGGCUUCUUUCAGAUUCACGCGUGCUAGUAUUCCAGGCAUAAGAAGACCUACUUUUUCUAAAGUAGGACGAUUCUUCUUAAUGAACUCCAAUACUUUUUUAUUUAUCUGAAAUCCUUGGUUCUGAAGCCCAUUCAAUAUGGAGCACAUUUCCUUAUACUUAUCAUAGCAUCUAAAAAGAAUAUGGCAAACAUGACACAUGUAAAGAGAAGACAAGGAACGUCUAGGAGUCUCGAUUCCCAAGGCAAAUUGACGAAGAAUUAAGGUUUAACUCCACAAUACCCAUCAGUUUUAGUUAUAAAUGGAGUUUAGUCAUUCGGAAGGCUGCUGGUGGAGUAGUACUUAAAAGGAGAAUAUUACUACUAUUGAAAAAGCAUCUCUCCUAGCAAUAUGCACCAGAUGAUAGGAUAUUGGCAUGACAAUGAUGACAUACUACUACAAUUUAUGUAUGAUAGUAGAAGGACAAAAAAUAAUACUCUACUUACUCUUUUCAUGACAUGUUAUCCAUAAACGGACAGCUUCUAUAGACAACAACUCCAAGCCCCAUUUUCAAGCUAUGAAUUCUUAUGAGUUAAAUCUUCCAAAUCUAAUGAACAUUUACCAAGUUCUUGAGAAAUCAUAAUUUGAUUGGAACUGUUUUUCAUACAAAAGUCGGAUUCAGAAAUAUGGUACACAAAGCUUUACAACAAUAACUGAAAACCAGCUUACUACCAUUGCAGGACAACAGUUCCUUAUCACCUUAUAGUAAGUUCCUCGUUAAAUCAUCUAGGGGGUAUUUUAUUACAUUUGUGAGGGUUGAAGUCAUACGUUAAGAUGUCAAGUACUAUACAAUAGACCAGAUUGUCUAAUAACCCAGGCUACAAAUAGAAAAAAGAAAAAAAAAAAGGCACGUUUUUGCUACUAAGCGCUAACUACAUACCUCUCUUUUGAACUUCUGUUCUUGAAUUUUGUCAGGCAAUGCUACUACAAACACCUUCACAUCAAUGUACAUGUCAAAACAUUAAGUGAAAAUUGAGGAGAAAAAAGAGAAAAGAAAACAAGAAUAAUAAGAAUUUAGCAAAAAGUAUAGAAGCAUAAUGCUAACGAACCUCAAUAUAGUCACGGAAUAACACUCUUGGCCUACCAGGUUGGUAAUGUAUGGACUUCCAUAAUUUAGUUCCCGAAGCUUGACCAAACUUCCAUUUCAGUGCCAAAUGUCAGUUUCAAUCCUCAAGUUUGAUCUCUAUUAAAAUCCAUCUCCAAUCAAUUUUACCCUUGUUCUCAAAGUCUUAAUUUUAUCUAAGUCUCACAACAGUGCUAAAUUUUACAGACCAAAUUGUUAUAAUUGAAUCUGUACGAACAAAAUUUAACAUUUAAGUUUCGCAUAUUAACUCUAGUUGUUGAUGAUUAUUAGGCAGUCGCCGUAGAGUUAAAUCCCGUCCUUGCCCUUACAUGUGAAAUGAGUAAACUUAAAGAAUGUUCUGCACCGUAAAUUAACCAAACAGAGGAUUUUUCACCAAUAAUCCAUGCAAGAACACACUCCCUCUCUGAAAUGAUGGAAUCUAUUGUUAUCUCUAAUUGUAAUUUCUCGUUCAUAGACCGCAGAUACAACCUUCAUGAACGAGUGACAAUCAACACAAAUCCUCAGGUUCUUCACGAUGCGAAUAGGUAACCCGCGACUUGUGCUGAUAAGCCCGAAUGCUACAGCUAUCCUCUCGCUGUGCAGACUCAGAAGAUCUUCCUUCUCCUCUUCUUCCACGUUGAGCAUGACAUUAGCCAGAUCGCGCGAAUAGCAAGCACUGGAAGCUCUUUCACUCAUCUCAGAGAGCAUCGCAACUAUCCGAUCCAUUUUAGGAUGGGACACAUCACUCGAAGUAAACUUGUGGAUCGUUCCGCAUACAUCAAUCUUACUAGAGCCGAUAGUCUUUCGAACCCCUUUAUCUCGCAUAGACAACCUCACCUUUGCAACAUCAUUCCACCGUCCUGCCGAAGCGUACAUGUUCGAUAGAAGAAUACGAGCGCCACUUUUCUCUGGAGCCGACUCUAGAACUUUCUUUGUUGCAUAUUCUGCCAUUUCAAUGUCACGGUGAAUGCGGCUAGAAGCUAAUAGUGCCCUCCAUAUUACAUCAUUAGGCUCCAUCGGCAUGCUCUCAAUGAGAGCUUGUGCUUCCGCUAAUAGACCAGCACGACUAAGGAGAUCAACCAAGCAACCGUAAUGGACUAUUUGCGGGGUGAAGCCAUAAGUGUUGCUCAUUGAAUGGAAAAACGUGCAACCCUCUUCGACUGACCCCGCAUGGCUGUACGCUGUCAGUACCCCAACAAACGCCAAGCCAUCAGGUUUCACACCGUGAUUGAUCAUUUCUGAGAAAAGCUUAAAAGCUUGAUUACCAUUACCCUCGAAAGCCAUUGCCCCAAUCGCGGCAGUCCAAGCUGCAACAUCUUUAAUAGGCAUCCUGCCGAACACAUGCAUCGCGCUUCGUGAAUCACCACAUCUAGAAAACAUGUCGACCAACGCGGUUCCUAGUCUAACAUUGCGUGAGAUUCGUUUCUUUUGUGUAUAGGUGUACACCCACUUGGCGAGAUCAAGAGAACCGAGAUACCCACAUGCUGAAGCUACGCUAACCAAUGUAGCCGUAUCAGGUUUUAGUUCUGAAUCUUGCAUUUUCCUGAAAAGCUCAACAGCUUCCUCAAGUUGACUGUCCUGUACUAGAGCACAAAUCAUUGUAUUCCAAGAAAUAAGAUCUCUUUCAGGCAUCAUGUUAAAAUGCUCCCAAGCGGAGGUGUAAUCACCAUUGAUAACAAAACCAUUUAUAAUGGUGUUCCAAGUUGCCAGAAUCUUGAUACGAAUUAUGUCAAAUACCUUCCUUGCAGCUUUCUCAUUGCGGCAUUUCAUGUACAUGUCUAUGACUGAAUUGUUCACAACAUCCCAACAGUCAAGCCCAUUCCUCAAUAUAUAAGCAUGUAAUUGUUUUCCUACCUGAAUAGCACCUAAUUGUGCAGAUGCGGAGAGUCCAGCAAGCACAGUAACCCUAUCUGGCCGUUGUUUAGAAAGAAGCAUUUCAUUAACGACACAAAGAGCCUCCUUUGCCAUCCCAUUGCGUGCAUAAUUUGAAACCAUUAUGUUCCAAAGAACAAUAUCUCUGUAUUUGCAAUCAUCAAAGAUUUGUCUUGCUUUCUCUGUAGCCCCGCAACUCAUGUACAUAUCGAUGAUUGGAUUGACCAAAGAGCUAGACCCAACACCAGAAUUCGAUAUAUAUGAGCAAAUCUUCUCCCCCUGCAUGAGAUCUUGCAACCGUGCACAAGCCGAAAGCACGCAAGCCAUGGUGACGGAAUUGGGUUCGAUUCGGCCAUCCCUCACCAUAUCAUGAAACAAAGAAAUAGCCUUUUCUGAGCAGUCCCCCUUAGCAUAACCAUCAAUUAGACUAGUCCAUGAGACUACAUUUCUUUGCAGCAUUCCAUCAAACACCCGUUGAGCACAACUCAUUUCCCCACACUCAACAUAGAAGUGGACCAAAGAAUUCUGGAUAAAAAGGUCACCUUGGACUCCUCCCUCUUCUCCUAUCUUGAGUAAAACCCCAUGUAAUUGCUGUCCUUCCUCAAAAGCUAAGAUCUUUGAGCAAACGGUGAGCAGAGGAGGGAAACUAAAGCGAUCGGGAACAACCCCAACACUUACCAUUCCAAUGUAGAGCUUAAGAGCUUCAUCAAGAGAACCAAUAGAGGAGUAACCUCUAAUGAGAGAGUUCCACAAGAAGGGGUCGGCUUCUUCCUCUUCCUCUGCUUCUUCCUCCCGCAAAAGCUCAAAGGCCUUAAUGGCGUAGUGUAAGCUCUCCGAAGUGGGUAUUUUGGAGUACGCGGCGACGAGCUUUGAGACGGAUGAGGGGAGAUAGAGGAGGCCAUUUACGGUCAUGUUGCCAUGGAUUUGGGCGACUUCUUUGAGGUUUGUGCAUAAUUUGAGAGACGCGGUCGGCGCGGAGGCAUCGAUUGGUUCAAUAAAGGAGCGAGCUUUGGGAGAGGGCCUUGGGGUUGUCAAACAGGGGGAGAGAGUGGUGGUCGCCAUAAGUAAAUGAGGUGGAGCUCCACGUUUUAGCUGAUCCACUAAUUAGUCAUCUUCUUCACACCUUAUAGGAGUAGGUGAGGAGCUCGAUGAGAAAAGAUGGGAUGAGGUAAUUCCCAAAACAAAUAGCUGACUUGGAUAAAUCUGCAGAAAAGUUUGCAAAUCGGAAUGAGUAAGGACAAGCACGCAGUGGGUUAAUCCUAAAUCCUGAUUUGAGGCAACAGUUAGAUAUACUAGUCUCAACUUUGAUAUAAACUAUUAAGCUUUUACUUUGGAAAAUAAUCCAAUAACUAGUAGUCUUUGGAUUGAAAGGAGCCUACCUUUAAGACGGAGAAAAAUACAUUCCAAGGUAUCCAUACUUAAACAAUUGUUAAUGGUCAAUCGUGGGUCCAGCGAUGGGUGCCUAGACAUGUAUGAGAAUCAUUGUUCAACAAAGCACCAAUAAGCGAUAAAGCAUUUGUUGAAAACAUGCUGCAAGAAGGACAAUUAACACGCGAUGAUAAAAUACCCAAAAAAUUUUAAAAGCCUAGAUAAUUGCACUUGUGCACUGCAUCAGCAGAAAAAGACAAAAAAGAAAAAGAAAACGAAAAAGAAAACAGAGAAAAUAGUUCACCAUUUGCUAGCAUAUUUUGGAAAACCAAUCAUGACAAGCCAAUAUGUGAAAACAUGUGAAACUUCCAAACUUAUUAGCAAGUUUUGAAAAACCAAUCAUGACAACCCAAUAGAUUGUUGUCUAGUCUGGUUCCUAUUGGCCACGGCUCGCUGACGAGGUGGUUUCAAAGUCUCUGCCUUAAUCAUCAAUUGGUGAAUCUUUCUCUUCGCUUUGUCCAUAUUCUUCCUUUCAAGUGCCCCCAUUAGCAUAUUGUAUGUAUUGUCGUUGGGAAUCAAACCCCUCAAUACCAUCUGCUCGAAAAAUAGGCACGACCGCUCUAACUUACCGUUUCGACAAAGCCCGUUAACUAAUAGAGUAUAGGUGCUAAAGUCAGGGCUGAUAUCUUUCCUAAGCAUAUGACCUAAUAAAAAAUAUAGUAUCUUCACCCAUUGCCUUUUACAACACAGUUUCAAUAAGGGCGUAUAAGUCUUUACGUCCGGCUUGCACGAGGUCUCUUCCAUUUUAACCAGCAACUUUAGGGCAUUCUCCUCCUGAGAAUGAUCACAGAAAGCUGAAAUCAAUGUAUUAAAUGUAUUCACAUUUGGAGAUAUCCCACUUCCGCACAUCUCCUCAAAUAUAUUAUUGGCAUCUCGUAACCAUCCAGCUCUACCGAGUAUAUAGAUUAAAGAGUUGUAGAACGAAGUGUCUGGAAUACAACCAUCCUUCUUCAUUUUAUCAAAAAUUUCGAGAGCUUCUUGGGUUUUCUUUGCCUUCCCCAAUGAAUGCAUUACAAUAGUGUAAGUAACAACAUUUGGAUUACAACCUUGGGCAUGCAUCUCAUCAAGAACUGCAUCGACCAUUGUGAAAUUCUUGUCCAAGCAAUAUGCUUCAAUUAGACUAGUGUAAGUUAUAACACACGGAUAAAAACCAAAUUGUCGCAUUUCCUUCAUAGUUUCUCGAGCCUCUUCUAGCUUUUGAGCUUUGCACCACCCAUGGACCAAAGUAUUAAAACUACUGGCGUCGGGUGGUAUCUCACUCCUUAGCUCCAGAAAGGCAUCUCUUGCACGCCUCACACUCCUCUCCUUACACAGGGUAUCCAAUAGCACAUUCAUGGCUUGGGUAUCUUUCUCAACUCCGAAAUGCUCGAAGCCGUUAAACGCAUUUAUCGCCUCACUCCACCUUCCGGCGCCGGCAAGUCUUCUCAUGACCUUUGUCAUAGUUGCUAGAGACACUAAACCCCCGAGUCGAACCAUCUCCUCGAUCAAUCCCCACAUAGUAUCAAAUUGCUUAAAUUUACCUAAAAUGUCGACCAUCACGUCGUAAGUAUCAGCCGAGUGCAUAUAGUAAUUUCUCUGGGUACCAGCCCACAUGAAGAAACCAAAAGCAGGAACCCAAUCAUUAUUAAACCUCUGCAAUAUCUUAUCAACCAAGGGCUUAGAGAUCCUGAUAGAGCACCCAUCAUCGAUAGCUAUAAGCACUGCCUCAGGAGACGAGAAAUUAGAGUUUAAAAUGCGACUAAUUUGCUCAACAUCCACCUCAAAAUCGGUGAUAUCACGAGAAACAGCCCUAAAAGAAACCUUCAAAGAGUUGGGGGGUUUCGAACUGUUAAUGCUAUAGUCUGAGAAUUUGACUUCGGGUGGGAGAACAAACUCAUCAUCUGAACCGACAUAAGACGGAUCAUCCUCUGGGUACAUAAACCAAUCGGGGAGCUCCAGCGAUUCCUGUGAUUCGACUAGAUUACAGAAUCCACUUGAAAUGCUGGAAAGGGCCCCAUUUUUUCGACUUCUUGAUGCCAAAAACAGCGGCGCCGCUGCAAGGAUGCUUCGGCAACCUCUCAUGCUUCCAAAACCCAGAUGCCAAUAAUUGCAGCAAAUUUGUAUAUUUGACAACCAAAUCAACGAAAUUAAACAGUAUACGUGGUCGAAUUUUGCAAGAUGCAUGUAACAACCCUGAAGAAUAAAUGGUAGAAGUAGUAGUUAACAGAGGGAGUUAGCAAAAAUGUCAACUUUACACAGUAGAGCAGAGAUAAGCGGCUGCAGCAGUUGAAGAAGGGCGAGCUUGGCGGAACGAUUCGACGAGGGUUGUUCGGGUGGAACUCCGGCGGAAUAACGGGGCUAGGGCAUCCUCGGAGCGGAGAGAGCGGAGGAAGGAUCGAGGGGGUAGGAAGGCUCCAACAGAAUCUACGUAUUCCGGGAAGAAGGAAGUACUCAAGCCCCUGCGGGUCGAAGCUUCAGGAUCUCGGAGCUGAGGCAAAAGGCGGACCCACUACCCGUCCCUUGGCGGAGCGGACGGGAGGGCGACCCGACAUCCACCGCCCGACCGCAGAGCCGCGGGUAGGAUGGUCGAAUCUUCGGAGCGGAGCCAAAAGGCGGACCCGCUACCCGUCCCUGGCGGAGCGGACAGGAGGGGCGACCCGACAUCCGCAGCCCGACCGCAAUCACUCUCUCUCUCCGGGCCUGUCAACCCAUCCGAGGCCCAUAACCCGUUCGCAUAUCGACCCACCGGGCCCGCCUUCUUAUUAACAAAUUGCUGUUAAGCACUUGUAGGAUAGUUUAAUUUCAUUUCGGUACAAAUUGUUGAGACUAUAUAUACCUAAAGGUGUCUAUGGAUCGGGUCGGGACUNAUUUGGAAGCAAUUCCUUUUCAUUUUGACAUUAUUUGAGCCGAAUUAGAAAUAGAAUCGGCUCCAAUUCCAAUACAUGGCCGUUUUGCACUACCACUUCGCACUGAGCUCUUCAAAACCCUUUGAAAACACACCCUUGGCUUUUCCAAAACUUCACAAUUGAUUCGGAGAUACUACAAUGUAUCCUUCCGCCUUACUUUAAUUCUUUUAAUCAAAGUUAGGGUCGGAAAUCCGAAAUUCUCUUUACUCUCUUUACAUUUCGUUUCGCGCCCAAUUUGCGCCGACACACUUAUUUCUCUUUGGAACUCAUUCCAACGCAUCACAAAUCCCUCGG